AAGUCGUAACACGGUCUCCGUAGGUGAACCUGCGGAGGGAUCAUUACUGAGUGAGGGCCCUCGGGCUCGACCUCCCACCCUUUGUGAACACAACUUGUUGCUUCGGGGGCGACCCUGCCGUUUACGCGGCGAGCGCCCCGCCGGACGUCCAUCAACAGUCCAUUGCCAUUGCGGUCGGAUUUUAAAGCAAAAUUUAAACAAAA
rnacentral:misc_RNA from 1 species